UCCAGGGUUGAUAUCAGGGGGGGUUCUGAGGUCGGGGUGACCCUAAAAAGGCCCUUUUUGCCCCCAAAAGGAAGGUGAAGACGCUGGGGGAGGAGGAGCCCUGGCUGGACGACGCGGCCGCCUGGAUCGAGCGGAGCCGGGCGCUCCAGAGGGAGAAGGAGCUGGCGGAGAAAAGGGCGAAGCUGCUGGAGGAGAUGGACCAGGAGUUCGGGGUGAGCUCGCUGGUGGAGGAGGAAUUCCAGCGGCGCCGGAGGGAGCGAUACAGCGCCCGCGACCUGCAGGGGCUGACGGUGGAGCACGACCCGGCCGCCAUCCCCGAGGGACAGACGCUGGUGCUGACCCUCAAGGACAGGGGUGAGGACAUGGGGACACUGGGGA